GACGAACGCUGGCGGCGUGCUUAACACAUGCAAGUCGAACGGAAAGGCCCUGCUUUUGUGGGGUGCUCGAGUGGCGAACGGGUGAGUAACACGUGAGUAACCUGCCCUUGACUUUGGGAUAACUUCAGGAAACUGGGGCUAAUACCGGAUAGGAGCUCCUGCUGCAUGGUGGGGGUUGGAAAGUUUCGGCGGUUGGGGAUGGACUCGCGGCUUAUCAGCUUGUUGGUGGGGUAGUGGCUUACCAAGGCUUUGACGGGUAGCCGGCCUGAGAGGGUGACCGGCCACAUUGGGACUGAGAGACGGACCAGACUCCUACGGGAGGCAGCAGUGGGGAAUAUUGCACAAUGGGCGGAAGCCUGAUGCAGCAACGCCGCGUGCGGGAUGACGGCUUUCGGGUUGUAAACCGCUUUCGCCUGUGACGAAGCGUGAGUGACGGUAAUGGGUAAAGAAGCACCGGCUAACUACGUG
rnacentral:rRNA from 1 species